AUGACGAGCUCACAGAUCCGACCUGCGGUGAUGAUGACAGUGGGUUGGGAGCAGUCAGGCUUGGCCUCGGAAGCUUUCUGGGGCCUUUUCCUGCUGUGUGCUCUGAUAUGCGUCUUUGCUCUCAUGGUUUACUUCGCAAGGAUCUGCUGGCAGUAUAGCAGGUACUCCAGCUCCGAACCUCCCAGCGAGCCAAGCGACUCUGCUGCUGCCGUCACCGCUGCCACCAUUGCUCAAAUACGGCCAGAGAAGCCAAAACCGACGCGCCUUGGCAGCUUCAAGGAACUGAUACAGUUUGCGGACACGAAGGAGGAGGAGAUCAAGAAGGUGAUGAAACGGAGAUUGAGCGAAAAAGAUAGGGAAAGUUGUGGCUACUCUCGGGUGUAG
rnacentral:rRNA from 1 species